rnacentral:rRNA from 1 species
AGAAUCAACGCUGGCGGCGUGCCUCAGACAUGCAAGUCGAACGCGAAAGUUUCCUUCGGGAAGCGAGUAGAGUGGCGUCCGGGUGAGUAACACGUAGGUAAUCUACCUUUGGGUGGGGAAUAACAAUCGGAAACGAUUGCUAAUACCGCAUAAUGCAGCGGCACCGCAUGGUGACAGUUGUUAAAGCGGGGGAUCGCAAGACCUCGCGCCUAAAGAGGAGCCUGUGGCGGAUUAGCUAGUUGGCAGGGUAACGGCCUACCAAGGCAACGAUCCGUA